AGAGUUUGAUUAUGGCUCAGAAUGAACGCUGGCGGCAUGGAUUAGGCAUGCAAGUCGAACGUACUCCCUUCGGGGAGAAAGUGGCGAAAGGGUGAGUAACACGUGAGCAACCUGCCUCCGGAUCCGGAAUAAUCCAGGGAAACUUGGUCUAAAACCGAAUGAAGACAUUGGUCCGCAUGGUCUAAUGUUAAAAUAUUUAUAGUCCGGAGAGGGGCUCGCGGCCCAUUAGCUUGUUGGCGGGUAAUGGCCCACCAAGGCUACGACGGGUAGGUGGUCUGAGAGGAUGGUCACCCACACUGGGACUGAGACACUGCCCAGACUCCUACGGGAGGCUGCAGUCGAGAAUCUUCCGCAAUGGGCGCAAGCCCUGACGGAGCGAUGCCGCGUGAGGGAUGAAGGCCUUCGGGUUGUAAACCUCUGUCAUCCGGGACGAAAACAAUGACGGUACCGGAAAAGGAAGCCACGGCUAACCACGUGCCAGCAGCUGC
rnacentral:rRNA from 1 species